rnacentral:rRNA from 1 species
GUUAAAAAGCUCGUAGUUGGAUUUCUGAAUCAAGCGCUUGGACCGGUACUGUGUACUGUGUUCCUUGAGGCUGGGUUCAUCCUUGUGGAGAAGGCGGUUGGCAUUAGGUUGUCGCCGUCGGAACCACAUCGUUUACUGUGAAAAAAUUAGAGUGUUCAAAGCAGGCUUAGGCAUUGAAUACAUUAGCAUGGAAUAAUAAGAUAGGACUCUGGUUCUAUUUUGUUGGUUGGAGGCCAGAGUAAUGAUUAAUAGGGAUAGUUGGGGGUAUUCAUAUUUAAUUGUCAGAGGUGAAAUUCUUGGAUUUAUGAAAGAUGAACGUAUGCGAAAGCAUUUACCAAGGAUGUUUUCAUUAAUCAAGAACGAAAGUUAGGGGAUCGAAGAGGAUUAGAUACCCUCGUAGUCUUAACCAUAAACUAUGCCGACUCGGGAUUGGGGGGUGUUCACUAUGACCCCUUCAGCACCGUAUGAGAAAUCAAAGUCUUUGGGUUCCGGGGGGAGUAUGGUCGCAAGGCUGAAACUUAAAGGAAUUGACGGAAGGGCACCACCAGGAGUGGAGCCUGCGGCUUAAUUUGACUCAACACGGGGAAACUCACCAGGUCCGGACAUAGUAAGGAU